GGGAAAACGCGGGGCCUCGGGUGUCACAGCCCUGCCCUUGGCCUCAAGUGCUACGGAGGACACACACUGCACUUGCUGGGGAUGAAGGCUCAACCACCCAAGCACACUCCAAAAGACUACAAGACCCUUGCUUAUGGUCAAGUACUAAUACUUUACAUACGUGCAGCACACAUGCAUACUUCUUCUUGUCCCCAGAUUUUCAGGUUUUAAUUUUCCUUUGUUUAAGAAACUAAGUAAUUACACGAAGAUCUUCAGCAAGUCUUGGGACAAAGCUGGGCAUGAGCUGCAGGGCACUGAGCUGCUGGUCCUUCUGAGACUGCUUGUGCUUCAGCUGGGAUACUCCAAAUAAAAACUGCUCUAUGCAGCCAGAGCUUUUCAAGCCAAAACCUUAAUGGAGCUGAAAGCCAAACGUGACUGAAACCCCCUGUGUAUCAAAAGCAGAGAAAUCCCAGCCAGUUCUGGUGUGCUGUCAACAUUAACAAGGCUAAGUGGGCUAUUACGGCUCCAAAGAAUUACCUCUGCUCUUAUAGAGAGAGGAUAACUCAAAGAGUGCAGAUCCAUGUCUGAAAACAUGAAGGAGAAUUUUCUACUGGCUUUUAGGAUAACAUGAAGCUGGAUGUGUUUUCCAAGCCGUCCUGGAAGAAGAGUUUUCAAGUUGUGGAAAUGAAAGGUCAAGAAGGUUUCAGUUACCCUUCAGAGACAGCUG